rnacentral:rRNA from 1 species
UACGAAGGGGGCUAGCGUUGCUCGGAAUCACUGGGCGUAAAGGGUGCGUAGGCGGGUCUUUAAGUCAGGGGUGAAAUCCUGGAGCUCAACUCCAGAACUGCCUUUGAUACUGAGGAUCUUGAGUUCGGGAGAGGUGAGUGGAACUGCGAGUGUAGAGGUGAAAUUCGUAGAUAUUCGCAAGAACACCAGUGGCGAAGGCGGCUUCCUGGACAAUUGCUGACGCUCAGGCACGAAAGC